rnacentral:rRNA from 1 species
AUUGAACGCUGGCGGCAGGCCUAACACAUGCAAGUCGAACGAGCGGCGGACGGGUGAGUAAUGUAUGGGAAACUGCCUGAUGGAGGGGGAUAACUACGGUAAACGGUCGCUAAUACCGCAUACCAUCAGAUGUGCCCAGAUGGGAUUAGGUAGGUGGUGGGGUAACGGCUCACCAAGGCGACGAUCCCUAGCUGGUCUGAGAGGAUGACCAGCCACACUGGAACUGAGACACUGUCCAGACUCCUACGGGAGGCAGCAGUGGGGAAUAUUGCACAAUGGGCGCAAGCCUGAUGCAGCCAUGCCGCGUGUAUGAAGAAGGCCUUCGGUGUUUAAAGUACUUUCAGCUGGGAGGCGUUACCCGCAGAAGAAGCACCGGCUAACUCCGUGCCAGCAGCCGCGGUAAUAC